UGUCUCCUCCACCCUCCUCCUUUGGUGGAUAUUUUCCCUGACUGCUUUUGUAGUCAGGGAUUUUUUU
rnacentral:ncRNA from 1 species